ensembl:snoRNA
CUCUUCCCUCCAAAGCACCCUGCUAAAACUGCAGGAGCCAAGCCUGCCAGGUUUGGCUCAUGUGGCCGUGUAAGCAUGGGUACACCAGGGAAGAAGAUCAAAAGCACAGGGUCGACAAUGAGCCUAGGAGGGACCUCUUUCUUAAUGUCCAUUGUCCUUUGUCUCAAGACCCUGUGUUACACAU